rnacentral:rRNA from 1 species
UAGUCCACGCUGUAAACGAUGAGUGUUAGGUGUCUGGGAGAACCUGGGUGCCACAGCAAACGCAAUAAACACUCCGCCUGGGGAGUACGCACGCAAGUGUGAAACUCAAAGGAAUUGACGGGGACCCGCACAAGCAGCGGAGCAUGUGGUUUAAUUCGAAGCAACGCGAAGAACCUUACCUAAGCUUGACAUCCCACCGACCUCUCCCUAAUCGGAGAUUUCCCUUCGGGGACAGUGGUGAC